rnacentral:tRNA from 1 species
UUUUAAAUAAUUUAAAUAAAAGAAUAAUAAAUUGUAAAUUUAUAAGUAGGAGCUUCCUUUUACU